UGCAAGUAUCGGGUGAAUAAGCAUCGGCUAACUCCGUGCCAGCAGCCGCGGUAAUACGGAGGAUGCGAGCGUUAUCCGGAUUUAUUGGGUUUAAAGGGUGCGUAGGCGGUUUGUUAAGUCAGUGGUAAAAGCGUGUGGCUCAACCAUACCAAGCCAUUGAAACUGGCGAACUUGAGUACAAACGAGGUAGGCGGAAUAUCACGUGUAGCGGUGAAAUGCUUAGAUAUGUGAUAGAACCCCGAUUGCGAAGGCAGCUUACCAGCAUGUAACUGACGCUGAGGCACGAAAGCGUGGGUAUCAAACAGGAUUAGAUACCCUG
rnacentral:rRNA from 1 species